rnacentral:tRNA from 1 species
GGUGGUGUAGCUCAGUGGUAGAGCACUAGUGUAGCACGUAAGAGACCCGAGGUUCCAUGCCUGGCAUCACAA